rnacentral:rRNA from 1 species
AUGAACGCUAGCUACAGGCUUAACACAUGCAAGUCGAGGGGCAGCAUCAUCAAAGCUUGCUUUGAUGGAUGGCGACCGGCGCACGGGUGAGUAACACGUAUCCAACCUGCCGACAACACUGGGAUAGCCUUUCGAAAGAAAGAUUAAUACCGGAUGGCAUAGUCUUCCCGCAUGGGAUGAUUAUUAAAGAAUUUCGGUUGUCGAUGGGGAUGCGUUCCAUUAGGCAGUUGGCGGGGUAACGGCCCACCAAACCUACGAUGGAUAGGGGUUCUGAGAGGAAGGUCCCCCACAUUGGAACUGAGACACGGUCCAAACUCCUACGGGAGGCAGCAGUGAGGAAUAUUGGUCAAUGGACGAGAGUCUGAACCAGCCAAGUAGCGUGAAGGAUGACUGCCCUAUGGGUUGUAAACUUCUUUUAUACGGGAAUAAAGUUAGCCACGUGUGGCUUUUUGUAUGUACCGUAUGAAUAAGGAUCGGCUAACUCCGUGCCAGCAGCCGCGGUAAUACGGAGGAUCCGAGCGUUAUCCGGAUUUAUUGGGUUUAAAGGGAGCGUAGGCGGGUUGUUAAGUCAGUUGUGAAAGUUUGCGGCUCAACCGUAAAAUUGCAGUUGAUACUGGCGACCUUGAGUGCAACAGAGGUAGGCGGAAUUCGUGGUGUAGCGGUGAAAUGCUUAGAUAUCACGAAGAACUCCGAUUGCGAAGGCAGCUUACUGGAUUGUAACUGACGCUGAUGCUCGAAAGUGUGGGUAUCAAACAGGAUUAGAUACCCUGGUAGUCCACGCCGUAAACGAUGUCUACUUGGAGGUUGUGCCCUUGAGGCGUGGCUUCCGGAGCUAACGCGUUAAGUAGACCGCCUGGGGAGUACGGCCGCAAGGUUGAAACUCAAAGGAAUUGACGGGGGCCCGCACAAGCAGUGGAGUAUGUGGUUUAAUUCGAAGCAACGCGAAGAACCUUACCAAGGCUUGACAUAUACAGGAAUAUUUAAGAGAUUAAAUAGCUCUUCGGAGUCUGUAUACAGGUGGUGCAUGGUUGUCGUCAGCUCGUGCCGUGAGGUGUCGGCUUAAGUGCCAUAACGAGCGCAACCCUUACGGGUAGUUACCAUCAGGUUAUGCUGGGGACUCUACCCGGACUGCCGUCGUAAGAUGUGAGGAAGGUGGGGAUGACGUCAAAUCAGCACGGCCCUUACGUCCGGGGCUACACACGUGUUACAAUGGGGGGUACAGAAGGCAGCUACACGGCGACGUGGUGCUAAUCCCGAAAGCCUCUCUCAGUUCGGAUUGGAGUCUGCAACCCGACUCCAUGAAGCUGGAUUCGCUAGUAAUCGCGCAUCAGCCACGGCGCGGUGAAUACGUUCCCGGGCCUUGUACACACCGCCCGUCACACCACGAGAGUUUGUAACACCCGAAGUCGGUAGGGUAACCUUUAUGGAGCCAGCCGCCGAAGGUGGGACAGAUAAUUGGGGUG